rnacentral:rRNA from 1 species
UGCAGUCGACGGAAAGGCCCUGCUUUUGUGGGGUGCUCGAGUGGCGAACGGGUGAGUAACACGUGAGUAACCUGCCCUUGACUUUGGGAUAACUUCAGGAAACUGGGGCUAAUACCGGAUAGGAGCUCCUGCUGCAUGGUGGGGGUUGGAAAGUUUCGGCGGUUGGGGAUGGACUCGCGGCUUAUCAGCUUGUUGGUGGGGUAGUGGCUUACCAAGGCUUUGACGGGUAGCCGGCCUGAGAGGGUGACCGGCCACAUUGGGACUGAGAUACGGCCCAGACUCCUACGGGAGGCAGCAGUGGGGAAUAUUGCACAAUGGGCGGAAGCCUGAUGCAGCAACACCGCGUGCGGGAUGACGGCCUUCGGGUUGUAAACCGCUUUCGCCUGUGACGAAGCGUGAGUGACGGUAAUGGGUAAAGAAGCACCGGCUAACUACGUGCCAGCAGCCGCGGUGAUACGUAGGGUGCGAGCGUUGUCCGGAUUUAUUGGGCGUAAAGGGCUCGUAGGUGGUUGAUCGCGUCGGAAGUGUAAUCUUGGGGCUUAACCCUGAGCGUGCUUUCGAUACGGGUUGACUUGAGGAAGGUAGGGGAGAAUGGAAUUCCUGGUGGAGCGGUGGAAUGCGCAGAUAUCAGGAGGAACACCAGUGGCGAAGGCGGUUCUCUGGGCCUUUCCUGACGCUGAGGAGCGAAAGCGUGGGGAGCGAACAGGCUUAGAUACCCUGGUAGUCCACGCUGUAAACGGUGGGUACUAGGUGUGGGGUCCAUUCCACGGGUUCCGUGCCGUAGCUAACGCUUUAAGUACCCCGCCUGGGGAGUACGGCCGCAAGGCUAAAACUCAAAUGAAUUGACG